AGUCGAACGAUGAACCCCGCUUGCGGGGGGAUUAGUGGCGAACGGGUGAGUAACACGUGAGUAACCUGCCCUUAACUCUGGGAUAAGCCUUGGAAACGAGGUCUAAUACUGGAUAUUGACUUUGCCUCGCAUGGGGUUUAGUUGAAAGAUUUAUUGGUUUUGGAUGGACUCGCGGCCUAUCAGCUUGUUGGUGAGGUAAUGGCUCACCAAGGCGACGACGGGUAGCCGGCCUGAGAGGGUGACCGGCCACACUGGGACUGAGACACGGCCCAGACUCCUACGGGAGGCAGCAGUGGGGAAUAUUGCACAAUGGGCGAAAGCCUGAUGCAGCGACGCCGCGUGAGGGAUGACGGCCUUCGGGUUGUAAACCUCUUUCAGUAGGGAACAAGGCCAGUGUUUAGCUGGUUGAGGGUACUUGCAGAAGAAGCGCCGGCUAACUACGUGCCAGCAGCUAGGGCGCAAGCGUUAUCCGGAAUUAUUGGGCGUAAAGAGCUCGUAGGCGGUUUGUCGCGUCUGCCGUGAAAGUCCGGGGCUCAACCCCGGAUCUGCGGUGGGUACGGGCAGACUAGAGUGAUGUAGGGGAGACUGGAAUUCCUGGUGUAGCGGUGAAAUGCGCAGAUAUCAGGAGGAACACCGAUGGCGAAGGCAGGUCUCUGGGCAUUAACUGACGCUGAGGAGCGAAAGCAUGGGGAGCGAACAGGAUUAGAUACCCUGGUAGUCCAUGCCGUAAACGUUGGGCACUAGGUGUGGGGGACAUUCCACGUUUUCCGCGCCGUAGCUAACGCAUUAAGUGCCCCGCCUGGGGAGUACGGCCGCAAGGCUAAAACUCAAAGGAAUUGACGGGGGCCCGCACAAGCGGCGGAGCAUGCGGAUUAAUUCGAUGCAACGCGAAGAACCUUACCAAGGCUUGACAUGAACUGGAAAUACCUGGAAACAGGUGCCCCGCUUGCGGUCGGUUUACAGGUGGUGCAUGGUUGUCGUCAGCUCGUGUCGUGAGAUGUUGGGUUAAGUCCCGCAACGAGCGCAACCCUCGUUCUAUGUUGCCAGCACGUGAUGGUGGGGACUCAUAGGAGACUGCCGGGGUCAACUCGGAGGAAGGUGAGGACGACGUCAAAUCAUCAUGCCCCUUAUGUCUUGGGCUUCACGCAUGCUACAAUGGCCGGUACAAUGGGUUGCGAUACUGUGAGGUGGAGCUAAUCCCAAAAAGCCGGUCUCAGUUCGGAUUGGGGUCUGCAACUCGACCCCAUGAAGUCGGAGUCGCUAGUAAUCGCAGAUCAGCAACGCUGCGGUGA
rnacentral:rRNA from 1 species